rnacentral:rRNA from 1 species
ACACAGGUGGGUGAGGAGAGUAUCCUAAGGCCAGCGAGAGAACUGUUGUUAAGGAACUCGGCAAAAUGACCCCGUAACUUAGGGAUAAGGGGUGCCACCAUCAGGUGGCCGCAGAGAAUAGGCCCAAGCGACUGUUUACCAAAAACAUAGGUUUCUGCUAAGUCGCAAGACGAUGUAUAGGAGCUGACGCCUGCCCGGUGCUGGAAGGUUAAGGGGAUCUGUUAGAGCAAUCGAAGCAGUGAACUUAAGCCCCAGUAAACGGCGGCCGUAACUAUAACGGUCCUAAGGUAGCGAAAUUCCUUGUCGGGUAAGUUCCGACCCGCACGAAAGGCGUAACGAUUUGGGCACUGUCUCAACAACAGACUCGGUGAAAUUGUAAUUCCGGUGAAGAUGCCGGAUACCUGCGACAGGACGGAAAGACCCCAUGGAGCUUUACUGUAGCUUGACAUUGGGUCUUGGUACUACAUGUACAGGAUAGGUGGGAGGCUUUGAAACCAGGACGCCAGUUUUGGCGGAGCCAUCCUUGGGAUACCACCCUUGUAGUACUGGGACUCUAACCAUAGGCCAUGAAUCUGGUCUUGGGACACUGUCAGGUGGGCAGUUUGACUGGGGCGGUCGCCUCCCAAAAGGUAACGGAGGCGCUCAAAGGUUCUCUCAGUACGGUCGGAAAUCGUACGUAGAGUGUAAAGGCAAAAGAGAGCUUGAUUGCAAGACAUACAGGUCGAGCAAGGAUGAAAAUCGGACUUAGUGAUCCGGUGGUUCUGCGUGGAAGGGCCAUCGCUCAACGGAUAAAAGCUACCCUGGGGAUAACAGGCUUAUCUCCCCCAAGAGUCCACAUCGACGGGGAGGUUUGGCACCUCGAUGUCGGCUCAUCACAUCCUGGGGCUGUAGUAGGUCCCAAGGGUUGGGCUGUUCGCCCAUUAAAGUGGUACGCGAGCUGGGUUCAGAACGUCGUGAGACAGUUCGGUCCCUAUCCGUCGCAGGCGUAGGAAAUUUGAGAAGACCUGUCCUUAGUACGAGAGGACCGGGAUGGACG